AGCACCUACGGGGCGCAGCAGUGAGGAAUAUUGGUCAAUGGCCGCAGGGCUGAACCAGCCAAGUCGCGUGAGGGAUGACGGUCCUAUGGAUUGUAAACCUCUUUUGUCAGGGAGCAAAGGGCGCCACGUGUGGCGUUUUGCGAGUACCUGAAGAAAAAGCAUCGGCUAACUCCGUGCCAGCAGCCGCGGUAAUACGGAGGAUGCGAGCGUUAUCCGGAUUUAUUGGGCUUAAAGGGUGCGCAGGCGGAAUGUCAAGUCAGCGGUACAAUUUCGGAGCUCAACCCCGUCGUGCCGAUGAAACUGGG
rnacentral:rRNA from 1 species